rnacentral:lncRNA from 1 species
AUGGACAUUGAAAUGGACAGGGAAGGACUCUGGAAGUCUCUUCCUCCUCCUCCCCUUCUCCCUACCCCUAGACCCUGGCUGACGUGGACAAUCUGCCAGGACAGAAGCUGGAUUUUCUGUCUAGGUCACUACUCCCAAUCCUGGGGAUUGGAGAGGCCUGGGGCUGUGGGAUGCCCCGUCCCCCUCCCCAUCACCUUUGGUGGGAGUAGGGCCUGGUGGCACCUGUGCAAUAACAUCUGUGUUUCUCUCCCACCUGCCGCUGGAACUGGAGAAUGCACUUUAUUCUGGGGGGUGAGUGGGGGAAGACCCAACCCUCCUUUCUCGCUGCCCCUGAUACAUGCACGGUCUCGUGAUGCUCCCUCCCUCUCCGGAGUGACAGGCACAUACAUGCGAACAGGCCAUCUCAGCCCUACACACUUGCCAUCCUCUACAGUGCAGAGGAAGAGUGAUGGUGGCAUGCUGGUGGUGGCGGGAGGACAGUGCCAACCUCCUCCUGGGGAUCCCAUGUUGGAGACUCUAAGGAUAAGGCUGGUGCUGCCCAGGGUGUCUACAGGACCUGCAGGUGUCUACCCCCAAGUCUUCCCUCCUCCCGAGCCAGGGGUGGCACAGGGCACUAGAUCCCUGGAGUUCAGGACCCAACACAAGCACAAGCACGGGCAUAAGUUGGCCUUGGCCACUGCCACCCAUGGCCCUCCUUUUGUGCUCCAUGCUGGCAUCUUCACUCCCCUACCCCUUCCCCAACCACUGCUGUUCAUUCAAACCCCUGUCCAUGUCCCUCCACUGUUCCUAUCAGCAGGUGGCCCCUGGGCAUCAGAACAGCCUGCCAUGGGCACCAGGUGGCGGACACAGAGCAUGUCUGGCUUUCCUGGUGGGUCCAGGCUCAUUCUGUUUCUUGUUUCCCCUCCCCCAGGGCUCAUUUCCCUCCUUUUUCCUGUAUACAUCCAUGUCUACCUCCUCUCACCCUGCCACAGAUUCUUCCUAUCACACAGAGAUGCCAGUUGUAUUCGUGGGAUUUCACCCAUUAUUAAUAAAACCUAUAUUUAUACAGUAUGUAAUGUGUAA